AACGAACGCUGGCGGCAUGCCUAACACAUGCAAGUCGAACGAUUGCCUUCGGGUGAUAGUGGCGCACGGGUGCGUAACGCGUGGGAAUCUGCCCUUAGGUUCGGAAUAACAGCUGGAAACGGCUGCUAAUACCGGCUGAUAUCGCGAGAUCAAAGAUUUAUCGCCUGAGGAUGAGCCCGCGUUGGAUUAGGUAGUUGGUGGGGUAAAGGCCUACCAAGCCGACGAUCCAUAGCUGGUCUGAGAGGAUGAUCAGCCACACUGGGACUGAGACACGGCCCAGACUCCUACGGGAAGCAGCAGUGGGGAAUAGUGGACAAUGGGCGCAAGCCUGAUCCAGCAAUGCCGCGUGAGUGAUGAAGGCCCUAGGGUUGUAAAGCGCUUUUACCCGGGAAGAUAAUGACUGUACCGGGAGAAUAAGCCCCGGCUAACUCCGUG
rnacentral:rRNA from 1 species